CUCCUUCGGGAGGGGAUUAGUGGCGAACGGGUGAGUAACACGUGGGCAAUCUGCCCUGCACUCUGGGACAAGCCCUGGAAACGGGGUCUAAUACCGGAUACUGACCCGCUUGGGCAUCCAAGCGGUUCGAAAGCUCCGGCGGUGCAGGAUGAGCCCGCGGCCUAUCAGCUUGUUGGUGAGGUAAUGGCUCACCAAGGCGACGACGGGUAGCCGGCCUGAGAGGGCGACCGGCCACACUGGGACUGAGACACGGCCCAGACUCCUACGGGAGGCAGCAGUGGGGAAUAUUGCACAAUGGGCGAAAGCCUGAUGCAGCGACGCCGCGUGAGGGAUGACGGCCUUCGGGUUGUAAACCUCUUUCAGCAGGGAAGAAGCGAAAGUGACGGUACCUGCAGAAGAAGCGCCGGCUAACUACGUGCCAGCAGCCGCGGUAAUACGUAGGGCGCGAGCGUUGUCCGGAAUUAUUGGGCGUAAAGAGCUCGUAGGCGGCUUGUCACGUCGGUUGUGAAAGCCCGGGGCUUAACCCCGGGUCUGCAGUCGAUACGGGCAGGCUAGAGUUCGGUAGGGGAGAUCGGAAUUCCUGGUGUAGCGGUGAAAUGCGCAGAUAUCAGGAGGAACACC
rnacentral:rRNA from 1 species